rnacentral:rRNA from 1 species
ACCAAGCCUACCUCCCCUGGAAAGGGGCAUCAUAGAGGGUGAUAAUCCCGUACAUGGCUUGGAGCGCCCGAGGCUUUGUGAUACGCUUUCUAAGAGUCGAGUUGUUUGGGAAUGCAGCUCAAAAUGGGUGGUAAAUGCCAUCUAAGGCUAAAUAUUGGGGAGAGACCGAUAGCGAACAAGUACAGUGAUGGAAAGAUGAAAAGAACUUUGAAAAGAGAGUUAAACAGUACGUGAAAUUGCCAAAAGGGAAGGGUAGGAGGUCAGAGAUGCGGCCUGGGAUUCAGCCUUGCUUUUGCUUGGUGUUUUUCCCAGAUUGCAGGCCAACGUCGGUUUUGGGCACUGGAGAAGGGUAGGAGGAACGUGGCACCCCUCGGGGUGUGUUAUAGCCUCCUACUGGAUACAGCGACCGAGACCGAGGACAGCAGCGUACUCGCAAGAGCGGGCCUUCGGGCACCUUUACGCUUAGGGCGUUGGCAUAAUGGCCCUCUACCACCCGUCUUG